ensembl:lncRNA
AUGUUUGUAGUGUGUUGCUAUGCUGUAGCAUAUGUUUGUAGCUCUUUGCUGUGGUGUUGCUAUGUUUGUAGUGCGUUGCUGUGCUGUUUCAAUAUGUUUGUAGCACGUUGCUAUGGUGUUGCUAUGUUUGUAGCGCGUUGCUGUGGUAUUGUGUAUUCUGUGUGAUUGCCAAGUCUCUGUGAUAUUCAGCUCUGUGUAAUGAUCAUGUGGGUGGUUCUGGGUUUCUGCAGUGAUGGUGGUCUGUGAGUUUGUAAUGACCCCCUCAGGACCUCAUUUCCUGCGGCUGCUUCUGAAUGACCCUCUGCAUGACAGUCACAGUAAAACCAGAGAUGGAAAUUAGCCACUAAUUAACAAGCUUGUAAUUAUGUUCUAGAUUCAUCACAGUUAAUAAUUAUGGUGCUUUAAAGAACCUAGAAAGUAUGACACUAAUUUGAAGUAACUGAUGCUAAUAGGUUCCAUAUGAUCCAUAUAAAUGAAAAUUAAUGAAAUGAAAAUACUGUCACAAUCUAAAACACAUCUAUAAUAAGGACAAAAUCGGAUUCUAUUUCAUAUAUUUUAGAAUUUCUAUUUCAGAUGUAUUAUAUUAUCCACAUUAUUUAUGGGGUGAUAUUAAUCUUUAAUUUAUGAAAAUACUAUACAUUAAUUUUAAAUAAUAGUUUUGCUUAUAUAUUAUGAAAAUAACACAAAGCAGUGCAAAACUAUGUAUUUAUACCAUGCAAAAAUAUAAUGUAUGUAUCAAAUAAAUUAUCAUUUAUAUUUCACAAUUCAUUAUUUUUGGGUGGAGAAAGUAAUUGAAUAUAUAAUGCAAUAUUAUGAAAACACCGUAAAUUAAUCUUAAUAAAACAAAAUCAAAAAUUAGCUUUAUAUUAUUGUUAAAUAUAUUUUAAUAUUAUAUUUAUAAUGUAAACAUAUUUUAACAUAAAAUAAAGUUAAUUAGCAUACGGAUUACCGACCAAUUACCAAUGAAACCAUGUAAAUAGAUUUAAUAUAACCUAAUAAUUAUAUUAAAAAAAAAAUGUAAUUUAUAUUUUACAAUUAUUUGUCAACUAUAUAUAUAUAUAUAUAUAUAUAUAUAUAUAUAUAUAUAUAUAUAUAUUUAUUUAUUAUUAUUAUUAUUAUUUUAUAUAUAUAUAUAUAUAUAUAUAUAUAAUAAAGUAUUAUGAUUUUUUUAUAAAUAAACUAAUUAUAUUUUUGUUAACUAUAUUGUAAAUAUAAUUAUUUUGAGCGACUAUUGAAAUAAAAUCAUCCGUGUUCAUUUGUAUAUGAAUAACUGAAUAUAACUUCAAAAUCUUUUAGUAUGUAAAAUGACUAUUAUAUACAAUAAUAGCAAUAAGACAAAAGACAGACAUGUCUCCUCAUUAAUAGAUGUUUAUUGACCUUUAUUAGCACAUUAGAGUGAAGAAACAAAUGCACAUAAAAUGAAUAAAAAAGAGCAUGUUUGAGGGUUUUUAGGCAUCUUUGCUGUUUUGUGAUUUGUCAUGUCUCACCCUCCUUUUACACUGAACAAAUGAAUCCAGUAAACGCAGUAAAAGGCCAGUUUGUGUGACAUUUGUACUUGUGCUUUGUCUUAUUUGCUGAAAUGGUUCCUUGGCUCCUGAGAGGAGCAGAAUAAAUGGCAACAGUUUAAUAAAUGACAUCUAGAUGAGACAUUCUGGUCCAGAUUAGUUUUCCCGGAACACUGCUUUUUUCUUUGUGUUUUUACUUGAGUUUCAAAACUUUAUAUUCAGUCUGCGUUUUAAAAGAGUUUGAUUCAGUUUGACGCAGUGAGUGGCGCUCGUCACUGAUGAAUCAGACAUAAAUAAUCCUUUAGAUAUACUUCCUUCCCAAACCUACAUAUAUAACACUGUUUAAAAGAUUAGGAUCAGUAUGACUUUUAUUUAAAGAAAUUAAUUUUCAAAUGUAACCGUGAAUACAUUUAUAUAAUAUAUGAAAAUAAAAUAGAAAUAAAUAUAUUAACUGUUUUCAACAUUGAUAAUCCAAAAUGUUUCUUGAGCUGCAGAUUUCCGAAGGAUAAUGUGACACUGAAGACUGGAGUAAUGAUGCUGAAAAUUCAGAUUUGAUCAGAGAAAUAAAUUAAACUUUACUAUAUAUAACAAUAGAAUACUGUAGUUUUGAAUUGUAAAAAUAUUUCAGAUUUUGUAUUGUAUUUUCUGUUAAAUAUAUCCAGCCUUGUUGAACAGAAGAAACAAAAACAUUAUAAAAGCAAAACCAUACUUCUCAUUGAAAAUAAUUUUGUGUUGUUCUGUGAUAUUUUUGUGGUGAAAUAAAUACAUAGAUUAAAAAAUAGUAAAUGCCAUUUAUAUAAAGUUACAGUAAUGCAAACUUAAAAAAAAAAAAAAAACUAUUUCUCAUUUUUGAACUCUCACCAUUGAAAUAUAAUACAACGAAGAUUGUAUUAGUCAAAAGUCAAAAGAUUUUACUAAUAUGCAAACUGAUCUCUGUGUGAAAAUAAUAUGAUUUUUUCCAAAGUAAUUUUUACCCCCUUGUAAUUUGGCUCAUUUUGACCUGCAAUACAAAAUAAUGGAUUACUCUUAUUCUUUGCAUUUAAUAUGGCUUUUAUUUUGUUUUUUCUUUAUGAAAAAUAUUAACAAAAUCAAACCUUUUUACCAACUAUUUCUUUGAUUUGAUGCUGAAUCGACCCUGUUUUCUCUUGAGCGCAGUGCAUGUUUUUGCACAGAUGUUUUCUACCGGGUUUUGAUAUAAGAAGAGCCAGUUAUGGUACAUUAACAUAUCAAUCAUACCAGUGUUGAUCAAUCCCAGUAGCUUUAAAAUACAUCUGCUCCAUAUCUAAACUAAACCCACAUCAGCUGUUUUACUGCCGUUAUAAACCGUUGAGCCAGAGAUCACAGUGUUUGCUCCUCACCAUAGAUUGUAGACUUUGUAGCAAUCUAUAACUUUAAUAUGCUGCUUGAAUGAUUCACAUUCAGAUUGUAUAUACAGUAUGACACUGUGGUCUACAUGUUCCUGUUUUGGUGGCAUUACUCUGACAUCAGAUUAAAUUAGAGUUUGAAUGAUGUCGGUCGGAUAUGAGCACUUUUAUGCAUUUCCUCACUGAUCACCUUGUUUUGACAAGAAAAACGCGGUAACAUUUCCAGGAUGUGCUGUUGAUGUAGGGGUCAUCUGCGGUUCACAUCGUCACGGCUGUAAUUACACUUCAUUAGGAAUGAUGGGAUACUCCUGAUGAAACUGUAUGUUAAGAAUAGCAUACUAUAUAAACUAUGCACAGUGCAAAUUGGCAUAAAGAAUGGAUUAUGCUGUACUUUAUUACAAACUGUAAUUGUCUAAAUGAAUCGCAUUCCCACAAUGCAAUGCACCUGACAUGACUUUCCAUUUGCAGCUUUUUUCAAAUUAACCGAAAGUGUUAUCCGCUCUGAUUCUUAAUGUCCUUUUUGACAAAAAUUGGUUUAAAAAUACAAAGCAACCCUAUUUAUCCUCAAUGCAUCCAAACAUUAUUUAAAAUAUAUUAUAAAAUAAACAUUAUCUGAAAUAAUAGUAAUAAUAUAAUAAAAUAAUUAUACUUUCAAUAGAAAACAAUAAUAAUAUAAUAAAACUUUUUAUUUCAGCUAGUUUCAUUUCUCAUUUUAAUUUGUUUACCUUAAUGUUCUAAAAUAACUAAAUCUAAAAUAAGAUGAAUAAAAAUAUAUUAACAUAUUUUUAAAAUAAUGAAAAGAAAAACUACAAAAACAAAUUAAACAAUCACAACAAAAUUGCUAAAACUUUACCUAAAAUAAAAAAAAUGAAAUUAAAAAAACUAUGCAAGUGUUUUUUUUUUAACUUCCUUUGUAAAGUGAUCAUUCUUUUUAUUUUGCUGUCCUAAAUAUGCACCAUUAUUACGGUCGGUUGCAUUUUAUCAUGUGCAUUUAUCAUCAUUUUCAUCCUGCUGUUUGUGAGCCAUUAGAGCCAUUUAAACUCAUUAUAGAUUAUGUUACAGUACUUCCUGAAGUUUAUGGGAUUGAACUGUUACACGGACUAGACCAGAACUAAAGUAUUGCACCAACUAGAGUCUGGUUCUAGAACAUUUGCAAUAGAUAUUUCUGAAAGAGAAUUAAAGUGCACCUUUUAUGUAAAAUCCACUUUUACAUGGUGUUUGGACAUAAAUGUGUGUUAGCAGUGUGUGAACACAACCACCCUGCAAUGCUAAAAAUACACCCGCUACUUAUUUUUAAUCCCCUUUAAACCAAGGCAGAAAAAAAAAAAAAAAAAAACAGCUUUUUUUUUUUUUUUUUUUUUUUUUGACAUCCUAAAAAAAAUGACAUUUUACAGCUGUAAUAAUAAAUGAUCUGUUGGGAAUUUUGGGCUGAAACUUCACAGACACAUUCUGGGGACACCCAAGACCAAUAUUGCAUCUUGCAAACAUGUUCAAUGUUAUCAUAUUCACAGAAUGAGGUUUAAUGACAGUGAGGUUUUUGUUCAUAUUGUAAGUAAUGGAGUUUAAUCAGCUGCCCGCGUGAAUGAGCGUACAUCCCUGUGAAGUCAACCGUUUCUCUGUCCGCUGG